UUAAGCGACUAAGCGUACACGGUGGAUGCCUAGGCAGUCAGAGGCGAUGAAGGGCGUGCUAAUCUGCGAAAAGCGUCGGUAAGCUGAUAUGAAGCGUUACAACCGACGAUACCCGAAUGGGGAAACCCAGUGCAAUUCGUUGCACUAUUGCAUGGUGAAUACAUAGCCAUGCAAGGCGAACCGGGGGAACUGAAACAUCUAAGUACCCCGAGGAAAAGAAAUCAACCGAGAUUCCCCAGUAGCGGCGAGCGAACGGGGAGGAGCCCAGAGUCUGAAUCAGUUUGUGUGUUAGUGGAAGCGUCUGGAAAGUCGCACGGUACAGGGUGAUAGUCCCGUACACAAAAAUACACUUGCUGUGAACUCGAUGAGUAGGGCGGGACACGUGACAUCCUGUCUGAAUAUGGGGGGACCAUCCUCCAAGGCUAAAUACUCCUGACUGACCGAUAGUGAACCAGUACCGUGAGGGAAAGGCGAAAAGAACCCCGGCGAGGGGAGUGAAAUAGAACCUGAAACCGUGUACGUACAAGCAGUGGGAGCACCUUCGUGGUGUGACUGCGUACCUUUUGUAUAAUGGGUCAGCGACUUAUAUUUUGUAGCAAGGUUAACCGAAUAGGGGAGCCGUAGGGAAACCGAGUCUUAACUGGGCGUCUAGUUGCAAGGUAUAGACCCGAAACCCGGUGAUCUAGCCAUGGGCAGGUUGAAGGUUGGGUAACACUAACUGGAGGACCGAACCGACUAAUGUUGAAAAAUUAGCGGAUGACUUGUGGCUGGGGGUGAAAGGCCAAUCAAACCGGGAGAUAGCUGGUUCUCCCCGAAAGCUAUUUAGGUAGCGCCUCGUGAACUCAUCUUCGGGGGUAGAGCACUGUUUCGGCUAGGGGGUCAUCCCGACUUACCAAACCGAUGCAAACUCCGAAUACCGAAGAAUGUUAUCACGGGAGACACACGGCGGGUGCUAACGUCCGUCGUGAAGAGGGAAACAACCCAGACCGCCAGCUAAGGUCCCAAAGUCAUGGUUAAGUGGGAAACGAUGUGGGAAGGCAUAGACAGCCAGGAUGUUGGCUUAGAAGCAGCCAUCAUUUAAAGAAAGCGUAAUAGCUCACUGGUCGAGUCGGCCUGCGCGGAAGAUGUAACGGGGCUAAACCAUGCACCGAAGCUGCGGCAGCGACACUUAGGUGUUGUUGGGUAGGGGAGCGUUCUGUAAGCCGUUGAAGGUGGACUGUGAGGUCUGCUGGAGGUAUCAGAAGUGCGAAUGCUGACAUAAGUAACGAUAAUGCGGGUGAAAAGCCCGCACGCCGGAAGACCAAGGGUUCCUGUCCAACGUUAAUCGGGGCAGGGUGAGUCGACCCCUAAGGCGAGGCUGAAAAGCGUAGUCGAUGGGAAACAGGUUAAUAUUCCUGUACUCGGUGUUACUGCGAAGGGGGGACGGAGAAGGCUAGGCUAGCCGGGCGACGGUUGUCCCGGUUUAAGCAUGUAGGCGGAGUGACUUGGUAAAUCCGGUUGCUUAUCAACGCUGAGGUGUGAUGACGAUGCACUACGGUGCAGAAGUAGUUGAUGCCAAGCUUCCAGGAAAAGCCUCUAAGCAUCAGGUAACAGUGAAUCGUACCCCAAACCGACACAGGUGGUCAGGUAGAGAAUACUCAGGCGCUUGAGAGAACUCGGGUGAAGGAACUAGGCAAAAUGGUGCCGUAACUUCGGGAGAAGGCACGCUGGCAUUAGGUAAAGAGACUUGCUCUCGUAGCCGAAGCCAGUCGCAGAUACCAGCUGGCUGCAACUGUUUAAUAAAAACACAGCACUGUGCAAACACGAAAGUGGACGUAUACGGUGUGACGCCUGCCCGGUGCUGGAAGGUUAAUUGAUGGGGUCAGCCGCAAGGCGAAGCUCUUGAUCGAAGCCCCAGUAAACGGCGGCCGUAACUAUAACGGUCCUAAGGUAGCGAAAUUCCUUGUCGGGUAAGUUCCGACCUGCACGAAUGGCGUAAUGAUGGCCAGGCUGUCUCCACCCGAGACUCAGUGAAAUUGAACUCGCUGUGAAGAUGCAGUGUACCCGCGGCAAGACGGAAAGACCCCGUGAACCUUUACUAUAGCUUGACACUGAACAUUGAGCCUUGAUGUGUAGGAUAGGUGGGAGGCAUCGAAGCGUGGACGCCAGUCUGCGUGGAGCCAACCUUGAAAUACCACCCUUUAAUGUUUGAUGUUCUAACUCGGCCCCGUGAUCCGGGGUGAGGACAGUGUCUGGUGGGUAGUUUGACUGGGGCGGUCUCCUCCCAAAGAGUAACGGAGGAGCACGAAGGUUAGCUAAUCACGGUCGGACAUCGUGAGGUUAGUGCAAAGGCAUAAGCUAGCUUGACUGCGAGAGUGACGGCUCGAGCAGGUACGAAAGUAGGUCUUAGUGAUCCGGUGGUUCUGAAUGGAAGGGCCAUCGCUCAACGGAUAAAAGGUACUCCGGGGAUAACAGGCUGAUACCGCCCAAGAGUUCAUAUCGACGGCGGUGUUUGGCACCUCGAUGUCGGCUCAUCACAUCCUGGGGCUGAAGUAGGUCCCAAGGGUAUGGCUGUUCGCCAUUUAAAGUGGUACGCGAGCUGGGUUUAGAACGUCGUGAGACAGUUCGGUCCCUAUCUGCCGUGGGCGUUGGAAGAUUGAGAGGGGCUGCUCCUAGUACGAGAGGACCGGAGUGGACGAAUCACUGGUGUUCGGGUUGUCAUGCCAAUGGCAUUGCCCGGUAGCUAAAUUCGGAAGAGAUAACCGCUGAAAGCAUCUAAGCGGGAAACUUGCCUCGAGAUGAGUCUUCCCUGGGGCUUUAAGCCCCCUGAAGGAACGUUAAAGACUAUGACGUUGAUAGGCUGGGUGUGUAAGUGCAGCGAUGCAUUGAGCUAACCAGUACUAAUGAUCCGUGAGGCUUAACCUU
rnacentral:rRNA from 1 species